UCCAGUGGGGGAUAACAGUCCGAAAGGACUGCUAAUAGCCGCAUUCGGUCGGCGAGCUCUUCGGGGCUCGCCGGGAAAGCCGGCCUCUCCAUGGAAGCUGGCGCUGGAGGAAGGGGGCCGCGGCCCAUCAGCUAGUUGGUGAGGUAAUGGCUCACCAAGGCAAAGACGGGUAGCUGGUCUGAGAGGAUGAUCAGCCACACUGGGACUGAGACACGGCCCAGACUCCUACGGGAGGCAGCAGUGGGGAAUAUUGGGCAAUGGGCGCAAGCCUGACCCAGCCACGCCGCGUGAGUGAUGAAGGCCUUCGGGUCGUAAAGCUCUGUGGGGAGGGACGAAAGCCCGUUGGCUAAUAUCCAACGGUUUGACGGUACCUCCUUAGCAAGCACCGGCUAACUCCGUGCCAGCAGCCGCGGUAA
rnacentral:rRNA from 1 species